ACACAUUGUGUUUAAAGACCGAAGACAGCAGGUGUAUCGCAAGGUACUCAAAGUAUUUGCCUGCCGAGGAUUUUAAAAUAACUCAUUGAGUAUUUAUACCUCUUUGUCUGAGCGCGCUUUGACAAAGAGGUUUUUAUUGUUAAGA
rfam:Eubacterium sp. CAG:603 genomic scaffold, scf40